GACAAGAAGUAGUAAUAGUAAAAUCAUGUCCAAAUAAAAAGUAUUUUGACAAUAACUUAGUAAUUAAUAUUGCAUAUAUGAAAUAUUAAUAUCUAAUGGAUAAGGUAUUUAACUUAUUAUUAUUGGCAUAUAGAUAAUGGACUAAAUAUAAAAUAUAAAAAAUUUGGAUUUUCGGAUAUCCAAAAAUUCAAAGUACCAAAUCCAACAUCCAAUCCAAAAUCCAAAAAAUUUGAAAAUAAAAUCCAAAAUCCAAUCCCUAAUCCUAAAAUUCUAACCAAAAAAUUCGAAUUUCGAGUUUGCCCAAACUAUGCCCACAUCUAGUUAUGAAUAUAACGAACCUGAUUCAUGAUAUAUUCAGGUGCGGAGUUAGAACACGACCUCCACGUUCGACAGAAUUCAAUAACUUUUGUCCAAACUAUGCAUUUGUCUUAAGAAAUUUAUCGAAUAUGAAUAAUUUAUUAGAACCAAGUAACUUAAAUAUUAAAAUCACGAACCCAUAAGCUGCAAAUCCUGGUUGCUUCUUCGCCUCUAUAUAUUCCAUCUUGCUCCAUCAAACUCCCAAUAUCGCGAUAAACAGCUUAAAUAUAGUUGACAUGGGAAUGUUAGGGAUAAGGUGAUAGAACAAUUUGGUCUGGUGAAGACGUCUGAGAGUUGGAGGUAUAAGAAUAAUUUGAACGUUUCCUACACAGUAAGAAAAUCAGAGUGACAAGAAAAAGGGUAAAAAGAAUAACAAGUAGCAGCAACAUAAUUUCUCCAUUGUGAGCAAAACUAUGAUUAUUAUCAGAUAACAUCGCAUCAUCUUUCUGCGAAAAAUCAUCAGGAGUCAUGUACGAGGGUGUAUUCAAAGGAUACAUCAGGGAGAUAUACAGUGCUUAGUGUUAACAAACUUAUGGUAUAUUUAUUCUUCCUUUUCAUCAGGAUGUAGAAUAUGACUGAAGCUUUAAGAAGGUGAGGUUUUAAGAUAGUUUCUUGGCAUGUUAUGCUGU
rnacentral:lncRNA from 1 species